GGCUUUAUAGUCAAUGUAUUAAUGAUAUUAGAUUGCAAUUCUAAAGUAGUAGAUUUUACUAAAGCUU
rnacentral:tRNA from 1 species